UACGUAGGAGGCGAGCGUUGUCCGGAGUUACUGGGCGUAAAGGGUGCGCAGGCGGCGUCACGCGUGGAUAGUUGAAAUCUCCUGGCUUACCUGGGAGGGUGGUAUCCAGACGGUGGCGCUUGAGGGUCGGAGAGGGGCGUGGAAUUCCGGGUGGAGCGGUGAAAUGCGUAGAGAUCCGGAGGAAGACCGGUGGCGAAGGCGGCCUGCUGGGCAGUUACUGACACUGAGGCGCGACAGCGGGGGGAGCAAACAGG
rnacentral:rRNA from 1 species